rnacentral:rRNA from 1 species
CACGUAGGGCGCAAGCGUUGUCCGGAAUUAUUGGGCGUAAAGAGCUCGUAGGCGGUCUGUUGCGUCCGCUGUGAAAACUCGGGGCUUAACCCCGAGCCUGCAGUGGAUACGGGCAGACUAGAGGUAGGUAGGGGAGAAUGGAAUUCCCGGUGUAGCGGUGAAAUGCGCAGAUAUCAGGAGGAACACCCGUGGCGAAAGCGGCUCUCUGGGACGGUACUGACGCUGAGACGCGAAAGCGUGGGGAGCAAACAGG